rnacentral:lncRNA from 1 species
AGGAAUGGUUGAAGAGAGAAAAUUCUCCCAUUUCCACAAACUGAAAAAUUCUAGAGAAUCUCUUUAGAAGGCACCGGGAACCCAACCCAGGACCUCCCAUGUGAGAGGUGACCACCCAAUUGCUUGAGCUACAUCUGCUCCCUCCAUCCCACUUCUGAGCCCAGGAGAGAAUUUCAAGAUUUGCUGUGACAGCAAAACGAAGAACCAAAACUUCUCUGAGAACUCCAAAGAGCCGUCUUCCCAAAACCAAUCAAAUCACAUUGUGCAGUUAAUUAUUCCU